rnacentral:rRNA from 1 species
UACAGAGGGUGCGAGCGUUAAUCGGAAUUACUGGGCGUAAAGCGCACGUAGGCGGCUUGGUAUGUCGGGUGUGAAAUCCCCGGGCUCAACCUGGGAACUGCGUCCGAUACUGGCAGGCUUGAAUCCGGGAGAGGGAUGUGGAAUUCCAGGUGUAGCGGUGAAAUGCGUAGAUAUCUGGAGGAACACCGGUGGCGAAGGCGGCAUCCUGGACCGGUAUUGACGCUGAGGCGCGAAAGCUAGGGGAGCAAACGGG